AAGCGUUGUUCGGAUUCAAUGGGAGUAAAGGGUGCGUAGGUGGUCGGGUAAGUCUGAUGUGAAAUCUUCGAGCUCAACUCGAAAAUGGCAUUGGAUACUAUUCGGCUGGAGGGUUGGAAGGGGGACUGGAAUUCUCGGUGUAGCAGUGAAAUGCGUAGAUAUCGAGAGGAACACCGGUGGCGAAGGCGAGUCCCUGGACAAUUCCUGACACUGAGGCACGAAAGCUAGGGGAGCAAACAGG
rnacentral:rRNA from 1 species